rnacentral:lncRNA from 1 species
GACAGGACGAUGACUCUCCUUGUUUUUUCUUUCGCUAAGACUUAACUAACGAACGAUCCUAGUUCAAUAGUAACAUCUUCUUAACUUCUUUUUUCAUGCCAAUAAAAAAGUUUAAUUUGGCUGGACCUACUAGCUUAGGCUCUAUCUCCUUCGUUUUUCUUUCUGCAGUGAUUUUUUCAAACCACUCCCUGACUUUUUUUCAUGCCAAUAAAAAACUUUAAUUUGGCUGGAUCUACUAUCUUAAGCUCCAUCUCCUUCGCUUUUCUUUAUGCAGUAAUUUUUUCAAACCACUCCCUUACAUAUCCUUGCGAUGCCUCCUCCAAUUCCUCAGGAAUCAUAUUGCCUACUAGCUUCUUAAUAGGUUCAGACUUCUUUGUUUUCUUCCUCGGUUCUUUCUCCUUUGGUUGCUUUGGUUUGGAUGACAAGAACAUCAACACCAAACGAUACAUCCACGCCG